GCUCGAGUGGCGGAAUUGGUAGACGCGCUGGACUUAAAAUCCAGUAGAAAGAAAUUUCUGUAUGGGUUCAAGUCCCAUCUCGAGUA
rnacentral:tRNA from 1 species